rnacentral:lncRNA from 10 species
AUUGUGACCCCCACUCCUGCCCGCCAGACAACAACCCCGUUUGACUGUAAUUUUCGUUUACCUACCCAAAUCUUAUAAAACAGCCCCACCCCUAUCUCCCUUCACUGACUCUCUUUUCAGACUCAGCCCACCUGCACCCAGGUGAAAUAAACAGCUUUAUUGCUCACACAAAGCCUGUUUGGUGGUCUCUUCACACGGACGCGCAUGAAAUUUGGUACCGUGACUUGGAUCGGGGGACCUCCCUUGGGAGAUCAAUACCCAGUCCUCCUGCUCUUUGCUCUGUGAGAAAGAUCCCCCUACGACCUCAGGUCCUCAGACCAACCAGCCCAAGAAACAUCUCGCCAAUUUCAAAUCCGAUCCAUCUGACGUCUCCCCUCCUCCCCAGGCUGCUUCUUGCCAGGCCAAGCUAGGUCCCAAUUCUUCCUCAGCCUCGGCUCCUCCACCCUAUAAUCCUUUUAUCACCUCCCCUCCUCACACCUGGUCUGGUUUACAGUUUCAUUCCAUGACUAACCCUCCCCCACUUGCCCAGCAAUUUACCCUUAAAAAGCUGGCUGGAGCUAAAGGCAUAAUCAAGGUUAAUGUUCCUUUUUCUUUAUCCCAAAUCAGAUAGCGUUUAGGCUCUUUUUCAUCAAAUAUAAAAAUCCAGCCCAGUUCAUGACUCGUUUGACAGCAACCCUGAGACGCUUUACAGCCCUAGACCCUAAAAGGUCAAAAGGCCGUCUUAUUCACAAAAUACAAUUUAUUACCCAAUCUGCUCCCGACAUUAAAUAAAACAAAAAUUAAAUUCCGGCCCUCAAACCCCAGAACAGGAUUUAAUUAACCUUGCCUUCAAGGUGUACAAUAAUAGAAAAAAGUUGCAAUUCCUUGCCUCCACUGUGAGACAAACCCCAGCCACAUCUCCAGCACACAAGAACUUCCAAACGCCUGAACCGCAGCAGCCAGGCAUUCCUCCAGAACCUCCCCCCCCAGGAGCUUGCUACAAGUGCCAGAAAUCUGGCCACCAGGCCAAGGAAUGCCUGCAGCCUGGGAUUCCUCCUAAGCCAUGUCCCAUCUGUGCAGGACCCCACUGGAAAUCGCACUGUCCAACUCACCUGGCAGCCAGUCCCAGAGCCCCUGGAACUCUGGCCCAAGGCUCUCUGACUCCUUCCCAGAUCUUCUUGGCUUAGUGGCUGAAGACUGACGCUGCCCAAUAGCCUCAGAAGCCCCCUAGACCAUCACGGAUGCCGAGCUUCAGAUAACUCUCACAGUAGAAGGUAAGCCAGUCCCCUUCUUAAUCAAUACGGAGGCUACUCACUCCACAUUACCUUCUUUUCAAGGGCCUAUUUCCCUUGCCUCCAUAACUGUUUUAGAUAUUGACAGCCAGGCUUCUAAACCUCUUAAAACUCCCCAACUCUGGUGCCAACUUAGACAAUACUCUUUUAAGCACUCCUUUUAGUUAUCCCCACCUGCCCAGUUCCCUUAUUAGGCUGCCUUAUUAGGCAGAUAAUUUAACUAAAUUAUCUGCUUCCCUGACCAUUCCUGGAUUACAGCUACAUCUCAUUGCCGCCCUUCUUUCCAAUCCAAAGCCU